UUGACAAAGAAGUUUCACAUGAGUUACUGCCUUGACUUCUCGUAACACACCAUGCAACUGACAUUUCUGCCCCACUUCACAGAGGAGGAACAGGUUUAGAUCCGCCCAUACUGUAUGGUUAAGAAGCACCAGAUUUGGGGUGUAACUCAAAAGCCACAGCUGCCUAUGAAAUUUAGAAAGCUGUCUGAAGCUUUAGUAGGAAAUAGAAAGUGUCGGAACUAUGCUAUGGAGCACUUUUUUAUAAAAAGAUGCAGGAUGCUUUCUGUUGCAGACAUGAUCGCUGGUAACAGAUGCCUGGUUCACUCUCAUCCUGGCCAUACCUGAGGACUAUGCUCCUCUUCUAGAAGUUCGGUGCAGUCAUCUGACUUAAUUGAUUCAGCGCAUUUAUCUGCAGGUGAGAGAACCCCCAGAGCACUCGUUCUCGCUGGAGUACAAUAGCACGACAUCAGCUCACUGCAACAUCUGCCUCCCGUUGCCUCGGCCUCCCAAAGUGCUGGGAUUACAGGUGUGAGCCACCGCACCUGGCCUGUGAGAUGGUUUUCUUGGGUAGAAUGAAAGAAGCUUGGCUACUGGGUCCAUUUUAUGUGAACAUGUUGCUCCCUAUUAUAGUCAGUCCCUGGAACCCAUUGUAAAGUCAGUUCUGGGUUUUUGCUUAGCUACCAUGUAGUAACAGUCACAGCCUGUCUCCUGUCACCCUAACACCAUCACCAUUGCCAGUGGAUAUUUUUACCCCUAGUUUAUAGUUAGGAAGCCUGAGACCCAGAGGGAUUAAAGAGCUUUUCCAAAAUCAUAUGGCUGGCAACACUAGUAAUCUGGGCUGCCUGAGUCCUAAACAUCAUUCUACCCCAGCAUUGAAUUCCGAGGCCUCUAGAAUCUUACCUACCUUCCCUGUUUGAAAUGUAUUUGUGGGGGAACAAUUGACCUCAGAAUGAGUAAUUUGUCACUACUCUGAGAAAGUUUCACCGAGUUUCACAUUUUCCCAUUACAAAAGGAAAAUGAGAAAAUAUGUCCUAGAUACUACAGAGAAAAAUACUUCAUUGUCUUAAUUGCCUUUCUAUUUCAAUCAAGGAAGGCAUUUAAUUAUUUCUGAACUACAUUCAAAACUCUCUCUCAAGAAUAUUACUCUCCCCAGGUGAGUUAACCAAAGCUGUGCACAACAUUUCUCAAUCUGAAUAAUAACAUCAAAAAAUUUAUUGAGCACUUUUUAUAUGCCAAACUAGUCAAUUCUUUCUGUUUAUGACCUCAUUGAUUCCUCAUGGCAAGUUUAUGAAGUGGAAGCAAUCAUUCUCUCUUCUAACAAAUGAGGAAACUGAGGCACAGAGGGAUGAGAUAGUUUGUCUAAGAUUGUAAGGCAUUAGGUGGUGAAGUCAGCAUUGGAUCCCAGGCCAAGCCCGAGGCCAUCACUCCACCAUGCUGCCUCUCAAGAGAAAGAUUCAGUUUCCCCUUUGAGAUAUCCAUUUAUAAGUACAUGUGCCAAAGCAAUGUGAAGAAACCAACCCAGAUGACUUGAUUAAGCUACAGAAGGGACAUCUGGGGUCUCAAGCCUCUGGAAAUCAAGGUGGAGCAUGUAGAGGUUAUGGGAUCAGGAGAGACAGAGUUUGACUUCUUUGUUUUUUCUUUGAGACCAAGUCUUGCUCUGUUGCCCAGGCUGGAGUGCAGUGGUGUGAUCUUGGCUCAAUACAACCUCCACCUCCUGGGUUCAAGUGAUUCUCCUGCCUCGGGCUACUGAGUAGCUGGGAUUACAGGCGCACGCCAUCAGGCCGGCUAAUUUUUGUAUUUUUAGUAGACACGGGGUUUCACCAUGUUGGUCAGGCUGGUCUCGAACUCCUGACCUCGUGAUCCACCUGCCUCGGCCUCCCAAAGUGCUGGGAUUACAGGCAUGAGCCACCGUGCCCGGCCUGGGUUUGACUUCUUAAGCAACCUGAGGAAUGAUGUCCUUGCUGCUGAGCACAGCUGCCCUGGGCCCUGGAAAACCCACAUGACACUCACUCAGCACCCAAUGCUGGCUUCAUUGUGGCUGUUGGAAACCAUGUGGAAAAGAAAUAACUUUUUUUGUGAUCUGUACGUUAUGGCUAUUAUUUUUUUACCUCGCUUAGCUUUUCAAGAGAAUGAAGACCAGUCGACUUAGUAUUUGUACUCUGAAAUCGAAUGGCAUGAACACAUGUGUUGUAUAAGUGAGAAGAAGUAUUCUCUUGUGUGAUGGACUAUAGCCUUCAGAAAGCACCUACUAUUAAACAGAAUAGAGAUUGGAUUUUGAAAUAUGUAGGCCACAUCAGUAGGAAAGUUGACACUUCAAAUUGCUCACAAGGACUUUAAACUCUACAAUAGGUAAAAUGUGGAGUACCUUAUGUUUUCAGACCAAAUGAUUUUGUAAUUUGAAUUCAAA
rnacentral:lncRNA from 10 species